UACGGAGGGGGCUAGCGUUGUUCGGAAUUACUGGGCGUAAAGCGCACGUAGGCGGCUUUGUAAGUUAGAGGUGAAAGCCCGGGGCUCAACUCCGGAAUUGCCUUUAAGACUGCAUCGCUAGAAUUGUGGAGAGGUAAGUGGAAUUCCGAGUGUAGAGGUGAAAUUCGUAGAUAUUCGGAAGAACACCAGUGGCGAAGGCGACUUACUGGACACAUAUUGACGCUGAGGCACGAAAGCUAGGGUAGCGAACGGG
rnacentral:rRNA from 1 species